rnacentral:rRNA from 1 species
UACGGGGGGGGCAAGCGUUGUUCGGAAUUACUGGGCGUAAAGGGCUCGUAGGUGGCCAACUAAGUCAGACGUGAAAUCCCUCAGCUUAACUGGAGAACUGCGUCUGAUACUGGAUGGCUUGAGAUUGGGAGAGGGAUGCGGAAUUCCAGGUGUAGCGGUGAAAUGCGUAGAUAUCUGGAGGAACACCGGUGGCGAAGGCGGCAUCCUGGACCAACACUGACACUGAGGAGCGAAAGCCAGGGGAGCAAACGGG